rnacentral:rRNA from 1 species
CCCCUAAGGUGAGGCCGAAAGGCGUAAUCGAUGGGAAACGGGUUAAUAUUCCCGUACUUCUGACUAUUGCGAUGGGGGGACGGAGAAGGCUAGGUGGGCCAGGCGACGGUUGUCCUGGUUCAAGUGCGUAGGCUUGAGAGUUAGGUAAAUCCGGCUCUCUCUAAGGCUGAGACACGACGUCGAGCUACUACGGUAGUGAAGUCAUUGAUGCCAUGCUUCCAGGAAAAGCCUCUAAGCUUCAGAUAGUCAGGAAUCGUACCCCAAACCGACACAGGUGGUCGGGUAGAGAA